rnacentral:rRNA from 1 species
UAGGGAAUCUUCCACAAUGGGCGCAAGCCUGAUGGAGCAACACCGCGUGAGUGAAGAAGGGUUUCGGCCCGUAAAGCUCUGUUGUUAAAGAAGAACACGUAUGAGAGUAACUGUUCAUACGUUGACGGUAUUUAACCAGAAAGUCACGGCUAACUACGUGCCAC